GACAGAGGGUGCAAACGUUGUUCGGAAUUACUGGGCGUAAAGCGCGUGUAGGCGGCUAAGUAAGUCGGGCGUGAAAUCCCACGGCUCAACCGUGGAAGUGCACUCGAAACUGCGUAGCUAGAGUCCUGGAGAGGAAGGUGGAAUGCUUGGUGUAGAGGUGAAAUUCGUAGAUAUCAAGCGGAACACCGGUGGCGAAGGCGGCCUUCUGGACAGUGACUAACGCUGAGACGCGAAAGCGUGGGGAGCAAACAGG
rnacentral:rRNA from 1 species